rnacentral:rRNA from 1 species
GUGGGGAAUAUUGGACAAUGGGCGCAAGCCUGAUCCAGCCAUGCCGCGUGAGUGAUGAAGGCCUUAGGGUUGUAAAGCUCUUUCAGUGGGGACGAUAAUGACGGUACCCACAGAAGAAGCCCCGGCUAACUUCGUGCCAGCAGCCGCGGUAAUACGAAGGGGGCUAGCGUUGUUCGGAUUUACUGGGCGUAAAGCGCACGUAGGCGGAUCGUUAAGUCGGGGGUGAAAUCCUGGAGCUCAACUCCAGAACUGCCUUCGAUACUGGUGAUCUUGAGUCCGGAAGAGGUGAGUGGAACUCCUAGUAUAGAGGUGGAAUUCGUAGAUAUUAGGAAGAACACCAGUGGCGAAGGCGGCUCACUGGUCCGGUACUGACGCUGAGGUGCGAAAGCGUGGGGAGCAAACAGGAUUAGAAACCCGGGUAGUCC